rnacentral:tRNA from 2 species
GUGGCCGUAGCUCAGUGGUAGAGUCCCAGAUUGUGGCUCUGGUUGUCGCGGGUUCGAUCCCCGUCGGUCACCCCA